rnacentral:rRNA from 1 species
ACGUAGGGUGCGAGCGUUAAUCGGAAUUACUGGGCGUAAAGCGUGCGCAGGCGGUUUCGUAAGCUUGAUGUGAAAUCCCCGGGCUUAACCUGGGAAUGGCAUUGAGGACUGCGAGGCUGGAGUGUGGCAGAGGAGACUGGAAUUCCUGGUGUAGCAGUGAAAUGCGUAGAUAUCAGGAGGAAUACCGAUGGCGAAGGCAGGUCUCUGGGCUGACACUGACGCUCAUGCACGAAAGCGUGGGGAGCAAACAGGAUUAGAUACCCUGGUAGUCCACGCCCUAAACGAUGUCGACUGGUUGUUGGGGGUUUGACACUCUCAGUAACGAAGCUAACGCGUGAAGUCGACCGCCUGGGGAGUACGGCCGCAAGGUUA